CGAGGGGCAUCAGUUUGGUUUGCUUGCAACCAAAGCUGGCGACCGGCGCACGGGUGAGUAACACGUAUCCAACCUGCCUCAUACUCGGGGAUAGCCUUUCGAAAGAAAGAUUAAUAUCCGAUAGCAUAUAUUUCCCGCAUGGGUUUUAUAUUAAAGAAAUUCGGUAUGAGAUGGGGAUGCGUUCCAUUAGUUUGUUGGCGGGGUAACGGCCCACCAAGACUACGAUGGAUAGGGGUUCUGAGAGGAAGGUCCCCCACAUUGGAACUGAGACACGGUCCAAACUCCUACGGGAGGCAGCAGUGAGGAAUAUUGGUCAAUGGACGCGAGUCUGAACCAGCCAAGUAGCGUGAAGGAUGACUGCCCUAUGGGUUGUAAACUUCUUUUAUAUGGGAAUAAAGUGGUCCACGUGUGGAUUUUUGUAUGUACCAUAUGAAUAAGGAUCGGCUAACUCCGUGCCAGCAGCCGCGGUAAUACGGAGGAUCCGAGCGUUAUCCGGAUUUAUUGGGUUUAAAGGGAGCGUAGGCGGAUUGUUAAGUCAGUUGUGAAAGUUUGCGGCUCAACCGUAAAAUUGCAGUUGAUACUGGCAGUCUUGAGUGCAGUAGAGGUGGGCGGAAUUCGUGGUGUAGCGGUGAAAUGCUUAGAUAUCGCGAAGAACUCCGAUUGCGAAGGCAGCUCACUGGAGUGUAACUGACGCUGAUGCUCGAAAGUGUGGGUAUCAAACAGGAUUAGAUACCCUGGUAGUCCACACAGUAAACGAUGAAUACUCGCUGUUUG
rnacentral:rRNA from 1 species